UACGUAGGGUGCAAGCGUUGUCCGGAAUUAUUGGGCGUAAAGAGCUUGUAGGCGGUUUGUCGCGUCUGCUGUGAAAUUUCGGGGCUCAACCCCGAACUUGCAGUGGGUACGGGCAGACUAGAGUGUGGUAGGGGAGACUGGAAUUCCUGGUGUAGCGGUGAAAUGCGCAGAUAUCAGGAGGAACACCGGUGGCGAAGGCGGGUCUCUGGGCCGAUGACUGACGCUGAGGAGCGAAAGCGUGGGAGCGAACAGG
rnacentral:rRNA from 1 species